rnacentral:rRNA from 1 species
GUUAUAGGGUCAAGCGAACAAGUGCAUGUGGUGGAUGCCUUGGCGAUCACAGGCGAUGAAGGACGCGGUAGCCUGCGAAAAGCUACGGGGAGCUGGCAAACAAGCUUUGAUCCGUAGAUGUCCGAAUGGGGAAACCCACUCCGUAUGGAGUAUCCAUGGCUGAAUACAUAGGCCAUGCGAAGCGAACGCGGUGAACUGAAACAUCUAAGUAACCGCAGGAAAAGAAAUCAACCGAGAUUCCCAAAGUAGUGGCGAGCGAAAUGGGAUGAGCCUUGCACUCUUUAUUUGUAUUGUUAGCCGAACGCUCUGGAAAGUGCGGCCAUAGCAGGUGAUAGCCCUGUAGGCGAAAACAGUAUGAAAGAACUAGGUGUGCGACAAGUAGGGCGGGACACGUGAAAUCCUGUCUGAAGAUGGGGGGACCAUCCUCCAAGGCUAAAUACUCGUGAUCGACCGAUAGUGAACCAGUACCGUGAGGGAAAGGCGAAAAGAACCCCGGGAGGGGAGUGAAAUAGAUCCUGAAACCGCAUGCAUACAAACAGUCGGAGCCUCGUAAGGGGUGACGGCGUACCUUUUGUAUAAUGGGUCAGCGACUUACGUUCAGUAGCAAGCUUAACCGUAUAGGGCAGGCGUAGCGAAAGCGAGUCCGAAUAGGGCGUUCAGUUGCUGGGCGUAGACCCGAAACCAGGUGAUCUAUCCAUGGCCAGGAUGAAGGUGCGGUAACACGUACUGGAGGUCCGAACCCACUAACGUUGAAAAGUUAGGGGAUGAGCUGUGGAUAGGGGUGAAAGGCUAAACAAACCUGGAAAUAGCUGGUUCUCUCCGAAAACUAUUUAGGUAGUGCCUCGUGUCUCACCUUCGGGGGUAGAGCACUGUCAUGGUUGGGGGGUCUAUUGCAGAUUACCCCGCCAUAGCAAACUCCGAAUACCGAAGAGUGCAAUCACGGGAGACAGACAUCGGGUGCUAACGUCCGGUGUCAAGAGGGAAACAACCCAGACCGCCAGCUAAGGUCCCCAAAUAUGGCUAAGUGGGAAACGAAGUGGGAAGGCUAAAACAGUCAGGAGGUUGGCUUAGAAGCAGCCACCCUUUAAAGAAAGCGUAAUAGCUCACUGAUCGAGUCGUCCUGCGCGGAAGAUGUAACGGGGCUAAGCCAUAUACCGAAGCUGCGGAUGCG